CAAUAGCGUAUAUUUAAGUUGCUGCAGUUAAAAAGCUCGUAGUUGGAUUUCGGGUGGGAAUGGCCGGUCCGCCGUUUCGGUGUGCACUUGCUACGCCCACCUUGCUGCCGGGGACGUGCUCUUGAGUUCACGCUCGGGACACGGAGUCGGCGAGGUUACUUUGAGUAAAUUAGAGUGUUCAAGGCAGGCCUACGCCUGAAUACAUUAGCAUGGAAUAAUGGAAGAGGACCUCGGUCCUAUUUUGUUGGUUUCCAGGGCCGAAGUAAUGAUUAAGAGGGACAGUUGGGGGCAUUCGUAUUUAAUUGUCAGAGGUGAAAUUCUCGGAUUUAUGAAAGACGAACAACUGCGAAAGCAUUUGCCAAGGAUGUUUUCAUUAA
rnacentral:rRNA from 1 species